ACUUUUUAAAUGCCAUUUAUCAUGUCAAUGUCAUUUGACAUGUUUCCUUUUAACUUAUGACAUGUAGAGGUAGAUGUUUAGUGGUGAGGUGGUUGUAGGACAAAAGACAUGGAUGCCGCUGUUAGCAUUCGAUAGUUGUAUCCCAUCCCUGCAAACAGGAAGACACUGGAGACGAUGAGGAGGAUCCCACAGCCCUGGUUUGGGUUUUGGUCCUAUAGGCCGCAUGAGGGAACCAGCGACACAGCAAUUGAGGAGCAAACCACCCAGGAUCAAGAAACUUCCUCUCCAGCCAAAGCGGUCAAAUAGCAAGCUCACCUCCACCGUACAUGACCGCUAACAUGAUGGAAGAGAUCCAGGACACCUGGCUGCUGGACACGUCAAAGAUCACCUCAAUGUCUUUAAAGAAGACCGUGAUAGACUUGGGGAAUGCAUAGGAGAAUCCAAUAGAGAUGAAGGCCCCAACCACCACCAUCCAUCCCCAGCCACCCUCAGGUGGUGUGUAGCCUUGUGGACCACCGACAGCAGGCGCCAUUUUCACUCACAAAUCUCCUCUUUUCAAAUUUCAACACGUUAUACAGAUAUGAUGACCUGUUCAGGAGAGAACAAAACAGCAAAGAUAAUUACUUGAUUAGUUUUUAUUUCUUUAAAGAUUACUUUGUUAUGUUUUUGUUGAAACAUGUUGAAAAUAAUUCACUGAUUGAGAGUUGUUCAAUAAACGGUUGGCUUUUUGAAAAUAAAA